rnacentral:rRNA from 1 species
GAUAAGGAGCUUGCUCCUUUGACGUUAGCGGCGGACGGGUGAGUAACACGUGGAUAACCUACCUAUAAGACUGGGAUAACUUCGGGAAACCGGAGCUAAUACCGGAUAACAUAUUGAACCGCAUGGUUCAAUAGUGAAAGGCGGCUUUGCUGUCACUUAUAGAUGGAUCCGCGCCGUAUUAGCUAGUUGGUAAGGUAACGGCUUACCAAGGCAACGAUACGUAGCCGACCUGAGAGGGUGAUCGGCCACACUGGAACUGAGACACGGUCCAGACUCCUACGGGAGGCAGCAGUAGGGAAUCUUCCGCAAUGGGCGAAAGCCUGACGGAGCAACGCCGCGUGAGUGAUGAAGGUCUUCGGAUCGUAAAACUCUGUUAUCAGGGAAGAACAAAUGUGUAAGUAACUGUGCACAUCUUGACGGUACCUGAUCAGAAAGCCACGGCUAACUACGUGCCAGCAGCCGCGGUAAUACGUAGGUGGCAAGCGUUAUCCGGAAUUAUUGGGCGUAAAGCGCGCGUAGGCGGUUUUUUAAGUCUGAUGUGAAAGCCCACGGCUCAACCGUGGAGGGUCAUUGGAAACUGGAAAACUUGAGUGCAGAAGAGGAAAGUGGAAUUCCAUGUGUAGCGGUGAAAUGCGCAGAGAUAUGGAGGAACACCAGUGGCGAAGGCGACUUUCUGGUCUGUAACUGACGCUGAUGUGCGAAAGCGUGGGGAUCAAACAGGAUUAGAUACCCUGGUAGUCCACGCCGUAAACGAUGAGUGCUAAGUGUUA